GGAGGGGGCAGGUAGCCUAGUGGUUAGAGUGGAGGGGCAGCAGGUAGCCUAGUGGUUAGAGUGGAGGGGUGGCAGGUAGCCUAGUGGUUAGAGUGGAGGGGUGCAGGUAGCCUAGUGGUUAGAGAGGAGGGAUGGCAGGUAGCCUCAUGGUUAGAGAGGAGGGGUGGCAGGUAGCCUAGUGGUUAGAGUGGAGGGAGGCAGGCAGCCUUGUGGUUAGAGUGGAGGGGCGGCAGGUAGCCUAGUGGUUAGAGUGGCGGGGCGGCAGGUAGCCUAGUGGUUAGAGUGGAGGGGUGGCAGGUAGUCUAGUGGUUAGAGCGGAGGGGAGGCAGGUAGCCUAGUGGUUAGAGUGGAGGGGCGGCAGGUAGCCUAGUGGUUAGAGUGGAGGGGCGGCAGGGAGCCUAGUGGUUAGAGCGGAGGGGAGGCAGGUAGCCUAGUGGUUAGAGUGGAGGGGCGGCAGGUAGCCUAGUGGUUAGAGUGGAGGGGCGGCAGGUAGCCUAGUGGUUAGAGUGGAGGGGAGGCAGGGAGCCUAGUGGUUAGAGUGGAGGGGCGGCAGGUAGCCUAGUGGUUAGAGUGGAGGGGCGGCAGGUAGCCUAGUGGUUAGAGUGGAGGGGCGGCAGGUAGCCUAGUGGUUAGAGUGGAGGGGCGGCAGGUAGCCUAGUGGUUAGAGUGGAGGGGAGGCAGGGAGCCUAGUGGUUAGAGUGGAGUGGCGGCAGGUAGCCUUGUGGUUGGGCCAGUAACCGAAAGGUUUCUGGAUUGAAUCCCCGAGCUGACAAGGUAAAAAUCUGUCGUUC
ensembl:lncRNA